AGAAAACGCGGUUGUAGUCUGUGUCUGUUUGUAUCUGGACUUACGAAACUGGGAACCUGUGAGGAUUGGGGGAAAACGUAUACAUUCACAUAUUCACAAGAAGCGAGGCAGGCAUUGUUCAUUUAUUUGUCAUUUAGAUAUGCUUUUUUUCCACGCGAAAUGGAGCAGGUGCUCAGAAGGGCACUGGGUGGCUGAGGCGAGGGCAGAUCCUGCGUUUCCAAAGCUGAAGCCCAGGAACAGCAGGCCGCAGAGGGGCCCAGAUUCACACAGGGCCCUCUGCAGACUGUUGGCAGAAACAAGGUAGCCACCGAACACAUGCCCAAGCCGGACGUUUUCCAGAACGCCGCAGAACCACCCUCCAGAGAGACACCAGCGUGCGGUCCACAGUGCUACGUGAGUCCCGCAAAGAGGAGACCUUCCCGGUGAGGCUGAGAGCGCUGCCUGCACGCUUUACCUGGCCCAGCCUCCAGCCUCCAUGGAAAAUGUGCUUCCGAAUGAGCACUCUUCCAAAGGCUCCAUACUGCUCUCCGGUGGCACUGGCCCGGGCACCCGACAGCAUGCAGGCAUGGAGAAGCCACCAUCCCACACAGAUGGGGGCAGAUGGAAAAUGGGCUCUGGACAGUUCCAAGCCCUUAGCCUGCCCACCCCUGCCAGGAGGCUCCAGUUGCUCUGGCGUUUCAGCCUCUUCUCCUGCAGCCUCGGCCAGUGCUUAGGCCACACCUGGAGACAGCUGGACGGUCGUCAGCCUCACCGAGAGGCCACCAGCUGAGGACCCAGGCUGGGCUCCUCCCAGCGGAAAACAGCGGGUGUCCUGUAUGCAGCAGAAACGCACCCCGGGAUCCCUCCUCGCAGCAGCCAGGCCGGGGCUGGCUGGGUCUUUUCUCUUCUCUUCUGCACACAGGCCCCUGGCCGCUGUUUCUGCAGAGACCAAGGUGGGAGGGAGAAAGACCCUCCAGCCCUCUGCCCCUCCCUCCCCGCAGUCUCCCGGGCCCUGUGCUGCCGGCAAGAUAAUUUGGCUAAUGAACUCGUUAAAGGGC